rnacentral:rRNA from 1 species
CGGAGGGUGCAAGCGUUAUCCGGAUUCACUGGGUUUAAAGGGUGCGUAGGCGGGUUGGUAAGUCCGUGGGGAAAUCCCCAAGCUUAACUUGGGAACUGCCGUGGAUACUAUCAAUCUUGAAUAUCGUGGAGGUAAGCGGAAUAUGUCAUGUAGCGGUGAAAUGCUUAGAUAUGACAUAGAACACCAAUUGCGUAGGCAGCUUACUACACGAUCAUUGACGCUGAGGCACGAAAGCGUGGGGAGCAAACAGG